AACGCAUAUUGCGCCCGAAGCUCCGGCUUAGGGCAUGCCUGCCUCAGCGUCAGAAAUGGACCAUCGCUCCACACGUUAACGUGUAGCAAGCCGAUGAUUGGUUUGCUUGGAGCGGAGCUGACUCUCCCAUGGACAUGUUUCUAUGGGUCGGUCGAAGUAUAGAGGCAUGAGCAAGGAACACAUACUUCCAACUGGACAGGUUCGCAUCAUUGCAUGCGCAACACGAAGUUGAGGCGUGGCCUUUGCAAGUGCCAAGCAGGAGCCAUGGAAGUGGCGUCACAUGUACUCGACCUGAGCUCAGGCAAGACUACCCGCUGAACUUAA
rnacentral:misc_RNA from 1 species